NNNNNNNNCCGGAAAUAUCCCUUUUGUGUUAAUCUGGGUAGGACGCACGGGGGGGGGGGCCUAAAAAGGCAGUUGAGGGGACAAAGGAGCUGGUUCCCGAAUGUAGGCGCGCACGGGUGAGUACACGUGGGUACCCUGCAGAUAGGACUGGGAUAACUCCGGGAAACCCGGAGNUAAAACCUGAAUAGAUCCUUUGACCCGCNUGGGUUCANGAAUGAAAGACGGGUUUCUGCUGUCACUUACAGAUGGACCCCGCGGCGCAUUAGCUAGUUGGUGAGGUAACGGCUCACCAAGGCGACGAUGCGUAGCCGACCUGAGAGGGUGAUCGGCCACACUGGGACUGAGACACGGCCCAGACUCCUACGGGAGGCAGCAGUAGGGAAUCUUCCGCAAUGGACGAAAGUCUGACGGAGCAACGCCGCGUGAGUGAUGAAGGUUUUCGGAUCGUAAAGCUCUGUUGUUAGGGAAGAACAAGUGCAAGAGUAACUGCUUGCACCUUGACGGUACCUAACCAGAAAGCCACGGCUAACUACGUGCCAGCAGCCGCGGUAAUACGUAGGUGGCAAGCAGAUAUGUCCGGAAUUAUUGGGCGUAAAGGGCUCGCAGGCGGUUUCUUAAGUCUGAUGUGAAAGCCCCCGGCUCAACCGGGGAGGGUCAUUGGAAACUGGGAAACUUGAGUGCAGAAGAGGAGAGUGGAAUUCCACGUGUAGCGGUGAAAUGCGUAGAGAUGUGGAGGAACACCAGUGGCGAAGGCGACUCUCUGGUCUGUAACUGACGCUGAGGAGCGAAAGCGUGGGGAGCGAACAGGAUUAGAUACCCUGGUAGUCCACGCCGUAAACGAUGAGUGCUAAGUGUUAGGGGGUUUCCGCCCCUUAGUGGUGCAGCUAACGCAUUAAGCACUCUGCCUGGGC
rnacentral:rRNA from 1 species